UACGUAGGGGGCUAGCGUUGUCCGGAUUUAUUGGGCGUAAAGAGCGUGUAGGCGGCCAGGUAGGUCUGGUGUGAAAACUCGAGGCUUAACCUCGAGAUGUCAUCGGAAACCAUCUGGCUAGAGUCCGGAAGAGGAGAGUGGAAUUCCUGGUGUAGCGGUGAAAUGCGCAGAUAUCAGGAGGAACACCGGUGGCGAAGGCGGGUCUCUGGGCCGAUAUUGACGCUGAGGAGCGAAAGCGUGGGGAGCGAACAGG
rnacentral:rRNA from 1 species